GACGAACGCUGGCGGCGUGCUUAACACAUGCAAGUCGAACGAAGCUUGAUUACGGAUUCUUCGGAUGAAGUAUGAUAUGACUGAGUGGCGGACGGGUGAGUAACGCGUGAGUAACCUGCCCUUCAGAGGGGGAUAGCGUUUGGAAACGAACGGUAAUACCGCAUAAUGUAUUUUGACCGCAUGAUCGAAAUACCAAAGAUUUAUCGCUGAAGGAUGGACUCGCGUCUGAUUAGGUAGUUGGUGGGGUAACGGCCUACCAAGCCGACGAUCAGUAGCCGGACUGAGAGGUUGAUCGGCCACAUUGGGACUGAGACACGGCCCAGACUCCUACGGGGGGCAGCAGUGGGGAAUAUUGCACAAUGGGCGCAAGCCUGAUGCAGCAACGCCGCGUGAAGGAAGACGGUUUUCGGAUUGUAAACUUCUGUUCUUAGUGAAGAAUAAUGACGGUAGCUAAGGAGCAAGCCACGGCUAACUACGUG
rnacentral:rRNA from 1 species